CUCAGAGGAAAAAAAUCCAAAAGAUUGGUUUAAGCAUUUCAGUUUUAACAUCCAGGACUUACAUAAAUACAAAUCAAUCUUAGAACAACAUUUGAUACCAUCAGUCCUAUGAGCAAGGAAAGAAAAGUAACGUUGUCAAGAUUUUAUAAGGUGAUGUAUCAGCAAGACUAUGGACUGAUACAUCAAGCCACAGGAAAGAGGCAAGAAGCAAGCCACAGGAAAGAACAUGAUUUAGAAGUAAAAUCUAUAUAUGAAUGAGACAAGGAAGACCUAUAGACAGAUGAACACUGAUAUUCUAGAAUUUGAAAACUGCCAUUGACUGACAAGAUUUUCCAUAGGGAAAUAAAUCAAGCAUUCUCAUGGUGAACUGGAUUC